UUACACAUGCAGUCGAACGGUGAACACGGAGCUUGCUCUGUGGGAUCAGUGGCGAACGGGUGAGUAACACGUGAGCAACCUGCCCCUGACUCUGGGAUAAGCGCUGGAAACGGCGUCUAAUACUGGAUAUGUGACGUGACCGCAUGGUCUGCGUCUGGAAAGAAUUUCGGUUGGGGAUGGGCUCGCGGCCUAUCAGCUUGUUGGUGAGGUAAUGGCUCACCAAGGCGUCGACGGGUAGCCGGCCUGAGAGGGUGACCGGCCACACUGGGACUGAGACACGGCCCAGACUCCUACGGGAGGCAGCAGUGGGGAAUAUUGCACAAUGGGCGCAAGCCUGAUGCAGCAACGCCGCGUGAGGGACGACGGCCUUCGGGUUGUAAACCUCUUUUAGCAGGGAAGAAGCGAAAGUGACGGUACCUGCAGAAAAAGCGCCGGCUAACUACGUGCCAGCAGCCGCGGUAAUACGUAGGGCGCAAGCGUUAUCCGGAAUUAUUGGGCGUAAAGAGCUCGUAGGCGGUUUGUCGCGUCUGCUGUGAAAUCCGGAGGCUCAACCUCCGGCCUGCAGUGGGUACGGGCAGACUAGAGUGCGGUAGGGGAGAUUGGAAUUCCUGGUGUANCGGUGGAAUGCGCAAAUAUCGGGAGGAACACCAAUGGCGAAGGCAGAUCUCUGGGCCGUAACUGACGCUGAAGAGCGAAUUGGUGGGGAGCAAACAGGCUUAGAUACCCUGGUAGUCCACCCCGUACACGUUGGGAACUAG
rnacentral:rRNA from 1 species